ensembl:lncRNA
GAACCUAUCAUGGGGCUUCAUAGGACUGACAGUGUGUGAUGCGCCCAAGGUCAUCCAGUGGAUUUCUAUGACUGAAAAGGGAGUGUUCCGUCUCCCAGAGCUACCAAAGCUUACUGCAUUGGCACUGAAGCUUCCCCAAACAUGGUUAUUCAUGCCUGGAGAAGAGGAAAGGGGAUUGCGGGAGCAUCUUGCCAUAGCCAAACACGAAAUGAUUAGAUCAGCUGUGCCAAGACCUCUGGAAGAAUGCAGAAGAUCUCACCAGGAGGAAGAGGAAGAAGAGGAGGAGGACACCAUGUCAGGACCCAUGUUUCCCGGGCCUUCACAUUGGCGCCGGGAAUCAGGCCCCUGACAUUCCCGCGCAUUCCUGAACUGAUAAGCAGGCCGGGGCCGGCCUUGAGACAUCAACGGACAAAGGGGGUUUUUGGCGGGUACUGUGCGCAGGUUUUUCACUGAGCGGGAAUUGCAUGUUUGAAUGUGGGAGGAGGGUAUAAAAAGGGACCCGAGGGCAUCACCCAGCACUCUUGGCUUCUUAUGCGUCAGUUAUCCUUCAGUAAACGUUCACCUUGUUUACGCACUGGUCUCGCGUCUUCAUUCUCGAGCGGCUGGAGUGAGCUGACACUUAUACACACAUGAGAUAACAACACUUUGGUAGGUUAAAAGGCAAGUUAUUUCAUAUGCAAUAAUGGAUUCAGUGUUAUUAAGAAACAAAUCGCAACAAAGCUUAAUUUAGAUGUUUUCUUCUUGUGGCAUGGUUCUAACACAUAGGAAAAAGGAAUAUUUUUUUAAAAAAAAUAGUUUAAAUGCCCACAAAUUAUGUUCCUGAACUAAUUAAAAUAUUUGUUGUCUGAUAGUUAUUCUGAGCAAAAUUCACACAGGUUUGUGAGAGUAAAUAUGCAUGCUCUUUUCUGUGUUAAAAGAAUUGCCAACUUUACACAGAAUAAAUCUCCAACUACAGACUUUGUGCAGAAAACAGAAUAACACUUUUGUGCAUAAAAUCCUAUUUUUUCUCAAAAAUUCUGUUUUAGAGCGAGUUUUAUGCUACAUAUGUCCCAAACUGUAUCUAGACAAUAAAAACUGCAAUUUUGAAAGAGUUUCUCGCUGUGAGAAGAAAACUGCUAAUAGUAUUCAUUUCUUGCUUCAAGAACAAAGUUAGUGAAGACUCAUAGUCCUACCCCAACGUAGGCAUAUCUAUCAAUCCAGUUAAGAAAUGACAUAUGUGAUGUGGAAUGGAAGCUGUUGAAUAUUCGGGUCAAAUCGAUUGCAAAAUAAAAAAGAAUAAUAAUAAAGAACAUACACAUCUUUUACAAAUUCACUCUAUUUGGAAGGGACAGCAUUCUUUUACCAAAAAAGUGAUCCUAUAGCUGUGAUGGCUUGCAGAACUGCUCUGGCAAACUAGAGUCACUCACAAGGAUGUCUUGGAAUUAACUGUUAAUGCCUAGUUACUUACAUUACAGGAAAAAAGUUGUGAAUAAAGAACAUGUGUGAAAACUCUGAUUUUACUACUACCUGGAACCCCAUCCCCUUCAGUUCAUGAAAGUUCAUUUUGCCAGCUAAGUCAGUUUGAACUAAUUCUCAUUAUUAGCCAAUUGUCAGGAUACACCUAGAUUAUCAGCACUUUUCCAUGCUGAAACCCAGAUGUUUACAUUUGUUUCACUGGCCACAGUUAUGACAUGGAGAUGGUAUGGAGUUCCAUCAAACACCAGGAUGAUCCAUGACAUGCUUCCCCUACUAAAAGAAAAAGACAGA